ACGGGUGAGUAACACGUGGGAACGUACCCUUUGGUUCGGAAUAACGCUGGGAAACUAGCGCUAAUACCGGAUACGCCCUUUUGGGGAAAGGCUUGCUGCCGAAGGAUCGGCCCGCGUCUGAUUAGCUAGUUGGUGGGGUAAUGGCCUACCAAGGCGACGAUCAGUAGCUGGUCUGAGAGGAUGAUCAGCCACACUGAGACUGAGACACGGCCCAGACUCCUACGGGAGGCAGCAGUGGGGAAUAUUGGACAAUGGGCGCAAGCCUGAUCCAGCCAUGCCGCGUGAGUGAUGAAGGCCUUAGGGUUGUAAAGCUCUUUUGUCCGGGACGAUAAUGACGGUACCGGAAGAAUAAGCCCCGGCUAACUUCGUGCCAGCAGCCGCGGUAAUACGAAGGGGGCUAGCGUUGCUCGGAAUCACUGGGCGUAAAGGGCGCGUAGGCGGCCAUUCAAGUCGGGGGUGAAAGCCUGUGGCUCAACCACAGAAUUGCCUUCGAUACUGUUUGGCUUGAGUUUGGUAGAGGUUGGUGGAACUGCGAGUGUAGAGGUGAAAUUCGUAGA
rnacentral:rRNA from 1 species